AGCGAACGUUUGCGGCGGGCCUAACACAUGCAAGUCGAACGCACUAGCAAUAGUGAGUGGCGCACGGGUGCGUAACACGUGGGUAAUCAACCCUUCAGCCUGGGAUAACGACUCGAAAGGGUCGCUAAUACCGGAUACGGCGCGAGAGGCUUCGGCUUCUCACGAGAAAGCCACGCAAGGGGCACUGAAGGACGAGCCUGCGGCCCAUCAGCUAGUUGGUGAGGUAAGAGCUCACCAAGGCUAAGACGGGUAGCUGGUCUGAGAGGAUGAUCAGCCACACUGGAACUGAGACACGGUCCAGACUCCUACGGGAGGCAGCAGUGGGGAAUAUUGCGCAAUGGGCGAAAGCCUGACGCAGCCACGCCGCGUGAGCGAUGAAGGCCUGGUC
rnacentral:rRNA from 1 species